CGAAUUUCUCGCAUGAGAUUUCACAAAUAUUUACAUUUAAGUUUAAUGCGAGAAGUAUUCAUUCUUGUUGCAAUAUUACAGAUAAUUUUUCGUCAUUAAAUAAAUUGAAUAUCUGAAAUGGAACACAGACAGCUGAAAUCAACAUUUGAUAAAGGAGAAAAGAAAAAUUCUGACGAUGAUAUUCCAAAAUUAUUGUAUUCGGUAAAGCAACAAGUAAAUCUAUUUGAAAGUUUUCGAACAGAAAAACCUACAACUUAUUCGAGAAUGUCGUAUUCAGCUAAAGAUAUUGGAUUUUAAAGAAAACUGAUUAAGAUGAGAUUUAAUAUGAACUUAACGCACAGAAGAACUUGAAUGUUUUUACUCUUGUUACUUAUAUCUUAAUGUUUUUUAACGGUUUUUAUACGGUUUUUAAUGCUGUUUUAAUAUUGUUUGAUAAUUACGACAAUUUUUAUAUUUGUCAAUUAUUAUAAUCUAAGCAGUUGUAUUUCUUUACUUUUUGUAAAAGUGAUUUUACGUAUUUCAUAAAACACCUCUACAUUCAAUUAAAAUACGUAGAAAGGAAAGAACAAAUCAUUGAAUUAUUUUCGUGUAAUUUAAAUUCUCUAAUAAAAAUACA